rnacentral:sRNA from 1 species
CCCCCGCCGGCCAUGAACGCCGCUCGCACCGGCUACCGAGUCUUCUCGGCCAACUCCACGGCCGCCUGCACGGAGCUGGCCAAGCGCAUCACAGAGCGCCUUGGUGCUGAAUUGGGGAAGUCUGUUGUAUAUCAAGAGACCAAUGGAGAAACAAGAGUUGAAAUAAAAGAAUCUGUUCGUGGCCAAGAUAUUUUCAUUAUACAGACAAUACCCAGAGAUGUGAAUACAGCUGUGAUGGAGUUGCUCAUCAUGGCUUACGCACUGAAGACUGCCUGUGCCAGGAACAUUAUUGGGGUCAUCCCCUACUUCCCCUACAGCAAGCAGAGCAAGAUGAGGAAGAGGGGUUCCAUUGUGUGCAAGCUGCUAGCAUCCAUGCUGGCGAAAGCAGGUUUAACUCACAUUAUCACUAUGGAUCUUCAUCAAAAGGAAAUACAAGGCUUUUUCAGCUUUCCUGUGGACAACCUUAGAGCCUCACCUUUCCUGCUUCAGUAUAUCCAGGAAGAAGUGAGGAACCACCAGCAAACACCCCAUUGUCCUCAAAAGAGAUCUUAUUUAGUUUUUCUCUGGUAUCA